CCCGAGCUUCCUUGCUCUAUAAAAACCUCAACCCUAAGCAGGAAAAAUCCCCAUCGCCGCCCCUUUACGCCACUUUCUUCAAGAGGGGUUUAGGGUUUCCUCUGUAUAAUCGCAAAGUCUAUUUGUUUUUGCUACAUCUAUUGAUUUGCUAUUUUGAUGUUCGUUUGCUCUGUAAAUGAAGGCUUUCAAUUGAAUCUCUUCAACAUCGCUUUCGAUAGGCGUUGCGUUCGUCGACGGGUUUAUAAUUCCCAGAAGAACGCGUCAACGGAAGCGUAAAUUGAUCCCAAUUCCGACCCCUUUUUAUCGAAUAUUUUCUUAUAUCCUAAACAUCUACGCAACAUUUUGUUGGUCGUGGUUUGUUUCGUGGUCGGAUUGCGACAUUCUUAUUUUCUUCUAAAAAUUUGUUUUGUUCGAAUAUAUUUUUCUUUUGUGGCAGUGUCUUAGGAACGGUGAGAAUGGUUUUGCGUUGCGUGUUGCAGUUGCUUCAUACUGGUGAACUCUCUCUUGAUUGAUAGUGGGAGAUGUUCAAGUUUCCGGAGCAUAAAGAUCUAUCACCUUUCGAGAUUCAUGCCAUCCGUAUUUUUCACUUAUAAACAGUCCCAUGAUCCUCGAGUAAAUGAAAUUUUAGAAAUUUUUGUGUAAA